UACAGUUGCAGGAUUCUUCAUCUCCUUCCAUGAUGCUGAGUUCUGCUGGUUGGAGGGCAGGAGUGCCAACAGCAACUAUUGGGUUUCCUCCUCCUACUGAAGUGAAGGGCACAGAAAGACAAUGACAAGUCGCUGGGAUGACAGAUUCAGAUUACUAAAGGGAAAUCAGGUUGCUAGUACACAGUAGUGCUUACUUAGAAAGUCUAUGCUGAAACUUAAAGACAACUUGUGCUAUUAAAGAAUUCGUGUGUUCACCUAUAAAGAAGCCCAGAAAUACACAAUGGAGAAAAAAUAAACAGCAUCUUCAACAAAUGGUGCUGGUUAACCUGGGCAGCUGCAUCUAGAAGAUCCAAAUAGAUCCAUACCUGUCACCUCACACAAAACUCAACUCCAAAUGGAUCAAAGGCUUCAACAUAAAAUCAAAUACACUGAGCCUGAUAGAAGAGAAAGUGGGAAAUAGGCCUGAACUCUUUGGCACAUAAAAAGACUUUCUGAACAGAACACUAUUAACAUAGUCACUAAGAUCAACAAUUAAUUAAUUGGAUCUUGUGAAACUGAAAAGAUCCUGCAUGUCAAAGGACAGCAUCAUUCAGACAAAGUGGCAGCCUACAAAAUGGAAAAUGUUUUACCAACUACACAUUUAAUAGAGGGCUACUAUUCAAAAUAUAGGGAAAAAAACUAAAAAAAAAAAA
rnacentral:lncRNA from 1 species